rnacentral:lncRNA from 1 species
GUUUAAUAAGGACUUGUUUAUUUUGAGGAAAAAAGGUCCCAAACAUCAGGCUGUUCACAAAAAUAACCCACAGUAUCAACUUUAGAAAACAAAUCUUAAGACUAUAACACUAAUUAUUUUUCUAGAGGAUGCAUUUGACAUGCCAACUCUCAUUCACAAAAAUACAUUGUUACAUUUGUGUUGAACUGCCCCACACAGCACACUAAUGUGGGGGUGUAACACACAUACUUCUAACUCAAAGCUGCUUUCAAGAGCUACUCAACUAAAUGAGAUUGCCUUUGCAGUUAGGGAAGCAACUACUGAACUUAUGUAUGAAUGAAAAGAACUGUACUCCCUGCAUAACAAGAGAUUAUUUUGGAGACAGUUGAUAAAAACCAUACAUCAUUUUUAUUGUUAAGUCAUAAAGAGGUAUCAAAAUUAAAAGCAAAAAUUACAGGGUAAGACUUAACAAAACUACUAGGAGCGUCAAAGGAAGUGAAAAUGGGACUAGGCGCGGGGCAAUAUGAAUUAAUUAAUGAACAUGGGAAGGACAAGGAUGGGGAAAACAGUGAGCAUGUGCUGAAGAUACUAGGGGAGAGGAUCUGGUGAAAAAUUUGAUCUUAGACAAGCGCCUAGGUAAAGAAAUAAUGGGAUAAGAUUUCUAAACCCCACUAUGUGCUUAAGAGUCAUCCUCGCCAUUGGCGCUGUCUCUGUCAUCCUCUCCUUCCUCAGCCUCUUUUUCAUCAUCCUUGAUCAACUCCAGCUGGUCAUCCCCCCAUCUUCAUUAUCAUCAUCAUCCAGUAGGUCCCCCUCCUCAGCAGAGUCAUCUGCACCCCCCUCAGACUCCAUCUUCACAUUAGUCUCAUCUUUCUUCACGGAGCUGCUGCUCUGCUCCUCUUCUGACUUAACAUUGUUCAUCUCUACUGCUUGUUUGCUCUGUUCCUUUUCAAUUUUUUCCAGGUUUUCCAGGAAAGAAUCCACUUUUUGUUUUAUCUGGGUCAGCUCCCUCUUAAUGGCCUGAAGGUCAUCUCCUUUCAACUUUCCAGACUUGGAAGAUCCCCGCUGUCCACUCUUAGAAUUGAAGCCACUUAUGCCCCUUUGUGAAGUGUUUCCUGAUACACGCUGACGUUUCGAGGGCACUACAGCCCGAGCAAUAGGAGGAGGAGGAGGUACACGUGCUGGGUAACUGUACAUCCUAUCAUAAUAGUCCCGUUGAAAGUCACAAUCCAAGUCAAAAGAGGAGCCGUACAUCUCCGCUGCAGAUCGUUUCACACCUGCUUUUCCUCGGUUCACUUUUGGCUCUGCAGCCAGGUUAAUAUCUAAAACCUGGCCAGCAAUCAUUCUGCCAUCCUCUCCUGCUACAGCAGCCCGGGCAUUUCUCUCAUUAACAUACUGAAAGAAGGCAAAGCCCUUAUGAACAGAGCAGCCCACAAUUUUGCCAUACUUCGAAAAGAUUGCCUCCACAUCAGAUUUCUUGACCACAAGAGUGUUGAGAUUCCCAAUGAAUACACGGGAGUUCAUGGAACGAGGAUCUGUCUUGUUGGAAUCUAGCGCUUCAGGAUUAUGUGCACUCUUGCUAAUCCAAGUGUUAUCCCUGAACCAGCAGCAUCAGCAUCACCAGAGAACUUGCUGGAAAUGCAGAAUAUCAGACUCUACCCCAGACCUACUUAAUCAGAGAAGCCCAGAGAGAUUCAUAUGCACAUUAAAGUUGGAGAAGUCCCAUACUCAUAUACUAGCAUAAACAGAGUAUCCUCAAACUCAUAACAAAGAAACCUACAAAACAUGAAGUACUGUCCUUUCAAUUUAGGGGCAGAGGAUUGGACAUUUUAUUUUAUUUUUUUAUGGGGGAAUACAGCUAAAACUGAAUUGC